AGUACUGUAUGUAUUCUCUUAGAGGAUCGGGAUAGUUUUGUACCACUGCCAUCAUAGAGCUCUCUUUUACUUAGGAUAAGUACCAUAACAGCCUUUUUAAAAGCCAUUGUAAUGUUGGGGUAAUGUCAAAGGAAGUGUUUCCUCUAGCUAGGAUGGCCAACUAGCUUGCUCCUGAGCCUUAACAGAAGUUUGAUAUGAAGAAAAUCAGCAGGCAGAAAAUCAUUAUGUAUGCUGUGUGCUCCUAUCCAUGAAAGAGCAGCACCUUGAAUACAGCAACAAGCUGGGAACACCAUAUUUUCUUGGGAUAAAUGACAUCUUAUUAUUUUUCUAUUGUGAUCGUCCCUUUUAUGAAUGUCAAGCUACAAUUUAUAAAUUCAGUAUCGUGAAUAAAAAUGUAUCUUGCAGCUGGCUACCUCAUCAAGGAAGAAAGCAAGAAAACACCCACAAAUGCUUGUUCACAGGCUGCUGUUCUAUAGUUUGCAACAGUUGUUUUCCAUUUUAACAGUGUUUUGUACAAAUGAAAGCUCCAGCAAUCUUUGUGUGUGGGUUGGAGAAAUAAUAUUUUCUAUAUUUUACUUACAUGGGAACACAUUCAAUGGAACUCUCUGUGAUUUACUUCUGCAUAAAUAUGCAUGAUUUUACUGUAAAUCUCAAUGAAAUCAAUAAAAUGUUACCUGUC